GCACUCCAGACAGAGAAAAUCACAACUGAAGAGCCUCUGAAGACAUAGAAGGAUUAAGCAACUGCAAGGCUGUGUGUGUGGCUGACAUGAAGCGAGCUCGGGAGGAGAGGAGAGGAUGAGGCCAGGAGGUGUCUCAGGGGCCAGACCCAGUAACUGCUGGGCCAUCCAGAGGUCUGUGGCUUUUAGUUUGAGAUGGGGAGCCACCAGUUGGUUCUGAAGAAAGGACUGAAAUGAGCUGACAUUGAACUACAGCUAUAUUGAUUGAUGCAGAGCCACAAAAAAGGACUGAGCACAAGAUCAAGUCUGCGGUAGCUGAGGAGUGCCCCCUACAGACUGACAUGCGCCACGCCAGCAGAUGACAAGGCAGGAGCAGAGCCGCAGAGUCUGCGGAUUCUCAGGCGUCAGUGAGGGAAGAAUGUUCACAUGAAGAUAUAAACAGAAAAAGAAGCCACUUCAUAUGUAAAGAAAAAGGAAGAUGCUUCCUCAAGAUCUCAAAAGCUCGGAUUCACACUCCUCAUCCUCCCCGAGAAGAGUGAGGAGAAAAUUCUCAUCAAAGAACUUUGCCCUGUAAGUACUGCGCCCUCAAACUUACUUGGAGAUACUUCUUCAAGAAUGCUCAUCGAUGUAGUGUGUUCAUCAUUAAAAGGAUAAACAACCUACUCUCCAGAUGUAGUUUCCAGCUCGUUGGAAGGAAGGCCUCCCUCCGAUGUUAUCUCUGCUCCUUCACAUCACACUGGAAGAGGUCGAUUAAAAAACACCUGAAGCCAGUCACCUAAAACCAUCUUGGCCUCAUCCCAAGGGCUGUGACAACAGGCCGCCUCCUGGAGACCUGAAACAGUACUGAUAUGGUAGCCCUGGCCCAGAGAGCUGCUGCAGAGGUGCCCCCUCUGGGCUGGCAUCAGGCCUAUCCCGCCUGGCGCCUCUGGCCCUGCAGAGCUGUGCAACCGGCGGCCGCGGCCCCCAUGCCGAGACCACAUUCCGACCUCCGUGUGGAAGUCAGCCACUCCAGAAGGCUCUGUUUCUAAAACUGUCCAUCCCAGAAGAACUGCAGAUAGAUGAAGAUGCAUUUCAUCAACCCAAUGCUUAUAUUCCACAGAGGAAGGGAAAACCGAUCCAUGAAGUUGCUAUUUGCAUAAAAUGCAGAAGCAUCUGUCACAGGCUCCUUCCUGGUUGAGUUUGGCAUCUAGGGAUCGUGCAGCUGCUCUGUCUCAGCAUUAGGUUCCCAGGAAGGCAAAGAAAGUCCCCAGUGAGGACAGCGUCGAGGGGCAGGGUGAGAACCCGCUCGGAUCACAAUCGGCAUAUUGACAAUUAUAUUUCUGAUAGGAUGAUGACAUAACUGGCCCUGUCACACGCAUACACACACUCGUCACACAAACUAGCUCAGGUUCAGCCUGAGAACCAUCGUAACUGACAACACUUCCCUGUAAAUAUGUUUCUUAUCAAGGUCAUGAUGAAUUAAUCAUAAUCAUGUUGCAUUUCGUUAGGUAGCACAGAGGGUGGAAAUUUUAAGGCAAGAUUAGGGUUAUUUACGGGGCUUGAUUUUAACGGGGAUUCUUGCUUUGGUUUGGUUUGGUUUUGUCUUGUUCUCUCUUACACCUAAUUAAAAUCCUGUGAGUGUGGAUGUCUUUCUGCCCACUUCACAUGCACACGGAAGAUUGCUUCCGUUGAUAAAGUAAAUUGUAAAACCAGGAUGGCUCAGAUAAACUUUAAAGAAGUCCAUUUCAGUUUCAUUCUUUUGCACACUUACUCCUGCCUGACACGCAAACCAACAAUUCUAAGUGUCAAGGCCGGUGACCAGAAAUAUCCUUAACCGGCUAUAAAAUGUCUGUUCCUGGGUCAUUGCAGAAAACUAGAUACGGUUUUCCAUGCAGAGGAAGAUAAACCGAUUCAAAGCCAAAAUUAUUUGCAGUCUUUUCUACAGUACCUGGUAAAUCUAUCUCGGUGUCUGGGGUAGUAUGCUACUUAGAAAUAGUUUUUAUUAUUAGUUUAAUUUUUCAGGGCCGAAUGUUCACUAUUCCCUGUUUCCUGCGGAUAGAGUUAAAACAAUCUGUCUGACAAGGUCUUUAUGAGUCAAUGGCACAGAGAAACAGGCAUAGUAACCAGUUAACAAAUUCAGACUUUGUAAUAAUAACAGUUCUUUAUAACAAACUGGUAUAAUUGGACUAAAAGUUUCUCUGAUGCAAGUUCAUCAGUAAGCAGUAAUCAGAUAGGAGGCUUCUCUGAAACUUUUCUGAUUCAUAAAUAAUAUAGUAGUUUACAAAGAGGAAGUUUGUGGGAAGCAGCAGUAAACAGUCUCGCAAUCCAUCUGUUAUUAUGGAAUCCAGAAGAGCUGAAUCAGGAUCCACGUUGUUUAUGAUAUAAAAGAUGCUUGGGAAAUGUUGCUGAAAUAAUUAUUAACCAAAAUGUCAUGUUUUUAUUUUGUAGAAGUCGGAGUCAUAUGGA